rnacentral:rRNA from 1 species
GGUGAGUAACAUGUGGGAAUCUGCCUUGUGGUUCAGGACAACAUUGGGAAACCGAUGCUAAUACUGGAUAAGCCCUUACGGGGAAAGUUUUAAUGCCAUAAGAUGAGCCCGCACUUGAUUAGUUAGUUGGUGAGGUAAUGGCUCACCAAGACAAUGAUCAAUAGCUGAUCUGAGAGGAUGAUCAGCCACACUGGGACUGAGACACGGCCCAGACUCCUACGGGAGGCAGCAGUGGGGAAUCUUGCACAAUGGAGGAAACUCUGAUGCAGCGAUGCCGCGUGAGUGAAGAAGGCCUUUGGGUUGUAAAGCUCUUUUGUAGGGGAAGAUAAUGACUGUACCCUAAGAAUAAGGUCCGGCUAACUUCGUGCCAGCAGCCGCGGUAAUACGAAGGGACCUAGCGUAGUUCGGAAUUACUGGGCGUAAAGCGCGCGUAGGCCGUUGAGUUAGUUAAUUGUGAAAUCCCAAAGCUUAACUUUGGAACUGCAAUUAAAACUGCUCGACUAGAGUUUGAUAGAGGAAAGCGGAAUACAUAGUGUAGAGGUGAAAUUCGUAGAUAUUAUGUAGAACACCAGUUGCGAAGGCGGCUUUCUGGAUCAACACUGACGCUGAGGCGCGAAAGUAUGGGUAGCAAAGAGGAUUAGAUACCCUCGUAGUCCAUACCAUAAACGAUGAUUGCUAGAUGUUGGAAAUUUAUUUUCAGUAUCGCAGCUAACGCAUUAAGCAAUCCGCCUGGGGAGUACGACCGCAAGGUUAAAACUCAAAUGAAUUGACGGGGACCCGCACAAGCGGUGGAGCAUGUGGUUUA